UGCCUAUACAUGCAGUCGAACGAACUCUGGUAUUGAUUGGUGCUUGCAUCAUGAUUUACAUUUGAGUGAGUGGCGAACUGGUGAGUAACACGUGGGAAACCUGCCCAGAAGCGGGGGAUAACACCUGGAAACAGAUGCUAAUACCGCAUAACAACUUGGACCGCAUGGUCCGAGCUUGAAAGAUGGCUUCGGCUAUCACUUUUGGAUGGUCCCGCGGCGUAUUAGCUAGAUGGUGGGGUAACGGCUCACCAUGGCAAUGAUACGUAGCCGACCUGAGAGGGUAAUCGGCCACAUUGGGACUGAGACACGGCCCAAACUCCUACGGGAGGCAGCAGUAGGGAAUCUUCCACAAUGGACGAAAGUCUGAUGGAGCAACGCCGCGUGAGUGAAGAAGGGUUUCGGCUCGUAAAACUCUGUUGUUAAAGAAGAACAUAUCUGAGAGUAACUGUUCAGGUAUUGACGGUAUUUAACCAGAAAGCCACGGCUAACUACGUGCCAGCAGCCGCGGUAAUACGUAGGUGGCAAGCGUUGUCCGGAUUUAUUGGGCGUAAAGCGAGCGCAGGCGGUUUUUUAAGUCUGAUGUGAAAGCCUUCGGCUCAACCGAAGAAGUGCAUCGGAAACUGGGAAACUUGAGUGCAGAAGAGGACAGUGGAACUCCAUGUGUAGCGGUGAAAUGCGUAGAUAUAUGGAAGAACACCAGUGGCGAAGGCGGCUGUCUGGUCUGUAACUGACGCUGAGGCUCGAAAGUAUGGGUAGCAAACAGGAUUAGAUACCCUGGUAGUCCAUACCGUAAACGAUGAAUGCUAAGUGUUGGGAGGGUUUCCGCCCUUCAGUGCUGCAGCUAACGCAUUAAGCAUUCCGCCUGGGGGAGUACGGCCGCAAGGCUGAAACUCAAAGGAAUUGACGGGGGCCCGCACAAGCGGUGGAGCAUGUGGUUUAAUUCGAAGCUACGCGAAGAACCUUACCAGGUCUUGACAUACUAUGCAAAUCUAAGAGAUUAGACGUUCCCUUCGGGGACAUGGAUACAGGUGGGUGCAUGGUUGUCGUCAGCUCGUGUCGUGAAAAGUUUGGGUUAAGUCCCGCAACGAGCGCAACCCUUAUUAUCAAUUGCCAGCAUUAAAUUGGGCACUCUGGUGAGACUGCCGGUGACAACCCGAGGAAAGGGGGGGGAAGAACGUCAAAACAUCAAGGCCCCUAUUAACCGGGGGUACAACCUGGUUAAAUGGAA
rnacentral:rRNA from 2 species